ACGCUGGCGGCACGCCUAACACAUGCAAGUCGAACGAAGUAGCAAUACUUAGUGGCAGACGGGUGAGUAACAUGUGGGUAUCUACCCUUUGGCCUGGAAUAACACGAGGAAACUUGUGCUAAUACUGGAUAAGUCUUUACGGAGAAAGCUUUAUGCACCAUUGGAUGAGCCCGCACUUGAUUAGUUUGUUGGUGGGGUAAUGGCCUACCAAGACUGUGAUCAAUAGCUGAUUUGAGAGGAUGAUCAGCCACAUUGGGACUGAGACACGGCCCAAACUCCUACGGGAGGCAGCAGUGGGGAAUCUUGCACAAUGGAGGAAACUCUGAUGCAGCGAUGCCGCGUGAGUGAAGAAGGCCCUUGGGUUGUAAAGCUCUUUCGUCGGGGAAGAAAAUGACUGUACCCGAAUAAGAAGGUCCGGCUAACUUCGUGCCAGCAGCCGCGGUAAUACGAAGGGACCUAGCGUAGUUCGGAAUUACUGGGCUUAAAGAGUUCGUAGGUGGUUGAAAAAGUUGGUGGUGAAAUCCCAGAGCUUAACUCUGGAACUGCCAUCAAAACUUUUCAGCUAGAGUUUGAUAGAGGAAAGCAGAAUUUCUAGUGUAGAGGUGAAAUUCGUAGAUAUUAGAAAGAAUACCAAUUGCGAAGGCAGCUUUCUGGAUCAUUACUGACACUGAGGAACGAAAGCAUGGGUAGCGAAGAGGAUUAGAUACCCUCGUAGUCCAUGCCGUAAACGAUGUGUGUUAGACGUUGGAAAUUUAUUUUCAGUGUCGCAGCGAAAGCGAUAAACACACCGCCUGGGGAGUACGA
rnacentral:rRNA from 1 species